rnacentral:tRNA from 5 species
GGUGGGGUUCCCGAGCGGCCAAAGGGAGCAGACUGUAAAUCUGCCGUCAUCGACUUCGAAGGUUCGAAUCCUUCCCCCAUCACCA